rnacentral:tRNA from 1 species
GACCGCUUAGCUCAGUUGGUAGAGCGUCACGUUGACAUCGUGAAGGUCAAAGGUCCGAGUCCUUUAGCGGUCACCA